rnacentral:rRNA from 1 species
UAGGGAAUCUUCCACAAUGGGCGCAAGCCUGAUGGAGCAACGCCGCGUGUGUGAUGAGGGCUUUCGGGUCGUAAAGCACUGUUGUAUGGGAAGAACAGCUAGAAUAGGAAAUGAUUUUAGUUUGACGGUACCAUACCAGAAAGGGACGGCUAAAUACGUGUCAG